GCCGGUGGUGGCUUAGUGGAGAGAGUGCAGGAGAAGAAGAAGGACCUGGGGGAGACCAGGGUUCAAAUCCCCCCCCCCGGCU